GACGUAGGGCGCGAGCGUUGUCCGGAUUUAUUGGGCGUAAAGAGCUCGUAGGCGGCUUGUCGCGUCGUCCGUGAAAACCUGCAGCUCAACUGCAGGCUUGCGGUCGAUACGGGCAGGCUCGAGUUCGGUAGGGGAGAAUGGAAUUCCUGGUGUAGCGGUGAAAUGCGCAGAUAUCAGGAAGAACACCCGUGGCGAAGGCGGUUCUCUGGGACGGUACUGACGCUGAGACGCGAAAGCGUGGGGAGCGAACAGG
rnacentral:rRNA from 1 species